AACGCACCUUGCGCUCCUUGGUAUUCCGAGGAGCAUGCCUGUUUGAGUGUCAUUAAAUUCUCAACCUCUCUAGUUUUUUGACUAGUAGAUGGCUUGGAUGUGGGGGUUUUGUGCAGGCUUUCACAAGUCAGCUCCCCUGAAAUACAUUAGCCGGUACUUUCUGACCGUCUAUUGGUGUGAUAAUUAUCUACGCCGUGGACUAUUGGAUAAAUGUACUGCUUCUAAUCGUCUUGUACUAGACAAUCUAUGACAUUUUGACCUCAAAUCAGGUAGGACUACCCGCUGAACUUAA
rnacentral:misc_RNA from 1 species